GGGACACGUGGUAUCCUGUCUGAAUAUGGGGGGACCAUCCUCCAAGGCUAAAUACUCCUGACUGACCGAUAGUGAACCAGUACCGUGAGGGAAAGGCGAAAAGAACCCCGGCGAGGGGAGUGAAAAAGAACCUGAAACCGUGUACGUACAAGCAGUGGGAGCACGCUUAGGCGUGUGACUGCGUACCUUUUGUAUAAUGGGUCAGCGACUUAUAUUCUGUAGCAAGGUUAACCGAAUAGGGGAGCCGAAGGGAAACCGAGUCUUAACUGGGCGUUAAGUUGCAGGGUAUAGACCCGAAACCCGGUGAUCUAGCCAUGGGCAGGUUGAAGGUUGGGUAACACUAACUGGAGGACCGAACCGACUAAUGUUGAAAAAUUAGCGGAUGACUUGUGGCUGGGGGUGAAAGGCCAAUCAAACCGGGAGAUAGCUGGUUCUCCCCGAAAGCUAUUUAGGUAGCGCCUCGUGAAUUCAUCUCCGGGGGUAGAGCACUGUUUCGGCAAGGGGGUCAUCCCGACUUACCAACCCGAUGCAAACUGCGAAUACCGGAGAAUGUUAUCACGGGAGACACACGGCGGGUGCUAACGUCCGUCGUGAAGAGGGAAACAACCCAGACCGCCAGCUAAGGUCCCAAAGUCAUGGUUAAGUGGGAAACGAUGUGGGAAGGCCCAGACAGCCAGGAUGUUGGCUUAGAAGCAGCCAUCAUUUAAAGAAAGCGUAAUAGCUCACUGGUCGAGUCGGCCUGCGCGGAAGAUGUAACGGGGCUAAACCAUGCACCGAAGCUGCGGCAGCGACACUAUGUGUUGUUGGGUAGGGGAGCGUUCUGUAAGCCUGUGAAGGUGUGCUGUGAGGCAUGCUGGAGGUAUCAGAAGUGCGAAUGCUGACAUAAGUAACGAUAAAGCGGGUGAAAAGCCCGCUCGCCGGAAGACCAAGGGUUCCUGUCCAACGUUAAUCGGGGCAGGGUGAGUCGACCCCUAAGGCGAGGCCGAAAGGCGUAGUCGAUGGGAAACAGGUUAAUAUUCCUGUACUUGGUGUUACUGCGAAGGGGGGACGGAGAAGGCUAUGUUGGCCGGGCGACGGUUGUCCCGGUUUAAGCGUGUAGGCUGGUUUUCCAGGCAAAUCCGGAAAAUCAAGGCUGAGGCGUGAUGACGAGGCACUACGGUGCUGAAGCAACAAAUGCCCUGCUUCCAGGAAAAGCCUCUAAGCAUCAGGUAACAUCAAAUCGUACCCCAAACCGACACAGGUGGUCAGGUAGAGAAUACCAAGGCGCUUGAGAGAACUCGGGUGAAGGAACUAGGCAAAAUGGUGCCGUAACUUCGGGAGAAGGCACGCUGAUAUGUAGGUGAAGUCCCUCGCGGAUGGAGCUGAAAUCAGUCGAAGAUACCAGCUGGCUGCAACUGUUUAUUAAAAACACAGCACUGUGCAAACACGAAAGUGGACGUAUACGGUGUGACGCCUGCCCGGUGCCGGAAGGUUAAUUGAUGGGGUUA
rnacentral:rRNA from 1 species